UAGCCUGAGGUGAUGAGUUUGCUUCAUGUCUCUUCUCUGAGAUCUGUGCUGGAGAUGCUCCAAAGACUCUGAUCAGGCAC